rnacentral:misc_RNA from 1 species
GUGAGUCAUCGAAUCUUUGAACGCACAUUGCGCCCCCUGGUAUUCCGGGGGGCAUGCCUGUUCGAGCGUCAUUACAACCCUCAAGCUCUGCUUGGUAUUGGGCCUCGCCGUCUGGCGGGCCUUAAAAUCAGUGGCGGUGCCGUCUGGCUCCAAGCGUAGUAACUCUUCUCGCUUCGGAGGCUGGCGUGUGCUCGCCAAUAACCCCCAAUUUUUUCAGGUUGACCUCGGAUCAGGUAGGGAUACCCGCUGAACUUAAGCAUAUCAAUAAGCGGAGGA